CUGUCGUCAGCUCGUGUCGUGAGAUGUUGGGUUAAGUCCCGCAACGAGCGCAACCCUCAUCCUUAGUUGCCAUCAGGUAAUGCUGAGUACUUUAAGGAAACUGCCAGUGAUAAGCUGGAGGAAGGUGGGGAUGAUGUCAAGUCAUCAUGGCCUUUAUGGAGUGGGCUACACACGUGCUACAAUGGUGUCUACAAUGGGCUGCAAGGUGCGCAAGCCUAAGCUAAUCCCUAAAAGACAUCUCAGUUCGGAUUGUACUCUGCAACUCGAGUACAUGAAGUUGGAAUCGCUAGUAAUCGUGGAUCAGCAUGCCACGGUGAAUACGUUCUCGGGUCUUGUACACACUGCCCGUCACGCCAUGGGAAUUAA
rnacentral:rRNA from 1 species